GUACUGUUGCAGUUGGGAAAUUACAGGGCAACUAUCUCUAUUGGCAGGCAGCCAUGCACUUAGAGACAUACUUAACUGUCUAAGUGCACCGUCUGCCAAAGGAGAUUUGCCCGGCGAUUCCUCUACUGCUUAUCGGAGC
rnacentral:pre_miRNA from 1 species